CCUGGCGGCCUUAGCGCGGUGGUCCCACCUGACCCCAUGCCGAACUCAGAAGUGAAACGCCGUAGCGCCGAUGGUAGUGUGGGGUUUCCCCAUGCGAGAG
rnacentral:rRNA from 1 species